rfam:Schistosoma rodhaini strain Burundi genome assembly, scaffold: SROB_scaffold0019519
GCACUGGUGAGGAGUCCCACAAUAGGACGAUACGGACGUCCAGUGU